UACGUAGGUGGCAAGCGUUGUUCGGAAUUACUGGGCGUAAAGGGCGCGUAGGCGGCCUUCUAAGUCGAACGUGAAAUCCCCGGGCUCAACCCGGGAACUGCGUCCGAGACUGGAAGGCUUGAAUCCGGGAGAGGGAUGUGGAAUUCCAGGUGUAGCGGUGAAAUGCGUAGAUAUCUGGAGGAACAUCGGUGGCGAAGGCGGCAUCCUGGACCGGUAUUGACGCUGAGGCGCGAAAGCCAGGGGAGCAAACGGG
rnacentral:rRNA from 1 species